GCGGGUAUAGCUCAGUUGGCUAGAGCGCAGCUCUGAUAAAGCUGAGGUCCAUGGUUCGAAUCCAUGUACCCGCA
rnacentral:tRNA from 1 species